UUCAGUAGACAAACUUUGAGCUCCCGGCCUCUAGCAGUCCAGAGAGAAUUUGGGAGAGAAGGAGAGUUUAGAAAGAGUAGAGAAGAGGAUAGAAAGUUGGGAGAGUGAGCAAGAGCUCAAGGGCUAGUGAAACAGGGUAGUGCUGCAAAAUUUCAUAGAGAGAACUUAGUGGAAGUGCUAUCCAACUAGGGAUUAACAAAUCUAAAAUCAAGGGGAGGUUCUGUCAAAAUUCAAACUAGCAACCAGACUUAACCUUGAAAGAACGACUGACCUCUAGAAGGCUAACCGCUAACAUUUGACUAACCCCUUGCACUAGUGUUGUGUUUGUCUGUAAGUAUUUGUUGCAGGAUGAAGAGAUGGGCAAAGGGAAUUGCUAACAAGGUCUUGGGAUGGACCACAAGGAGCUCAUCCCAGUACGCCUCGUCAAGGGCUAGCUCCGACAUGAGCACCAAUCCCCCCGCCGAUGCUCAGCCAUCAUCCUCCUCAGCUGCACAAAGGGUUCUCCUCACGGUAACUAACCUUGCCUUGAGGGAUGCGAGAGAAAAGAACAUCUACAACAAAUUGAAGAGCAGGAACUUUGUCCACACACCGGUUUUAGAUGACGUGUUCCUCUGUGAAACAGGUAUGGCAACUGAACUUGACACUAUUUUCUAGUUUUUUGGUUGGGGUUCUUUUGCAUCUAUUUGUGAGUUAGGGUCAAAGCUUUUAACCAUAGAAUUUCUAUGCACCCUUCAACUCACCUAGACAAGGGUUUAUUUUAGGUUGUUUACCCAAGAAUUAUGUUUAACAUGGAGAGUUCUUAGAGAUCUUUUAGGCUUUCCUUCAAAUGCACAUCUAGAUUUAAGUGAAGCCUUAAAAGAUUGUGACACCCAUAAAAUUUGGAUUUAAAUAUCUAAAGAGCCUUUCUUUCAUACUCGGGACACAGAGCACCCUACAUUGAGGUUCUAGCAUAAAUGGUUGGGUACAACUUUCUUUCCUCGAGAUGAUGCUAGUAAGAUUAGAGCUAUAGAUUUGCAAUUACUUUUUGCAACAGUGAAGAAAAUAAGGGUGUCGCCUGUCCAUGCUUUAGUAGAUCAUUGGUUAAGCAUUCCUGUAUAUAAAGUAGGAGAUGUAGCAAUUUGUUCUAUUGUUACUCGUUUAGCUGUUAAGCUUAAAUUACUUGAAGGUGCCUCUUUGGAUUUUAUUAAUACACAUAGACAAAUUUAUGGAUAUGAACAUUUUAAUCAUGCGCACCUCUUAAAGAAAAUAAAAUCGGAUCUAUACAUGACAAAUGGGGACGCCAAGCUCCGGUUACCUAACCCGGAGAUGGCAGUAUAUUUUUUCCAAACUCUGGACAUUGAGUUUCAGGUGCGACUAGUGAACAAGAGAGGAGCUCAGGGGGGAUUUCUAAGUGGGCACCUCAGAGGACAGCCUCUGAGAGAUUUGCUCGUCAACACGAGCCAGUCUGGCUUGGUGCUGACCCCACUCAUGAAGCACCGGCGCACACCAGCUAUGAUGAAUGGCAGGCACGCUAGCGCCACGCACUGAAUCCUAGGAUAUAUCCUCUGUUCCAUCCUACAUACCAUCCAUAUGGAUACUAUCCACCACCACCAUUCACCCCCGUAGGGGAAGGUCCCUUAGGAGAAGCUCCAAGGCAUUCAUUCAGUACCUAUGGAGAAAGGGCAGAAGACGAAGAACAAGGCUUUGAGCAAGGACGCAGGUCUGAUGCUUCUGGGUUCUUCUACACCCAGGAGCAUUACAAUGAGCAAAUGGCAUUUCAAAACUCUGUCCACACCUCUGUUGCUCACAAUGAGCAGAAUUAGAAUGACCAGCGUCAGUGGAACCAAACAACCACUCAAACGUUGGCCUCUAUUCAAGAAGAAGAUCAAGCUAACAGCACUCUAAGUGAUCUUCGCGUUCCUCCAGACCCCGAAAGAAGACUAGCUUGGGGGAGGACCCCCAUUAUCAAUGGGGUUAUCGGAAUAAUAACAAAAGGAGGUGCCCUGAAACCUAGGACCCACCUACCAUAGGGCAGGGGCAGGCGCCUAGGUGACCUAGACCAAUCAGGUGCAGUCUCGCGGAUCCUGCCUCCACCGACUUUGAGGAUUAAUCUUAAGCGCACGUUUAAGUCAGUUUGAUCCAAGGUGGUGCUUCCUAGGGGGCUAUAAAUACAAGCCUACCCCCCUAGAGGAGAGCUUAGAAUUGAAAGAGAAAAACAUAAUUAUAUUUUUAUUCUCAUUUGAGAAUUAGAGGGAGCCAUUAGAGCCAGGGAUUAGAGAUAGACUAGCUACUCCUAAUCUUCAUCUUCUACAUAGGUUAGAUUAGAUAGAGAAAGAGUCUGGGCGCAUGUGUUCGGAAUUUCCAUAUCUUAGUUAUCAGAUAUUGGUGUGUAUAUAUAUAUAUAUAAAUAUAUAUAUAUAUAUAGGAAGUAGGAAAAAUUUACCUAAGGUGCAUUUUUUAUACUCUCUCCCAUAUAUGUAAACGGGUAUGUCAAUUAUCCAAUAGCGUCACCAGGCGCAUCACCAGACUAACCAUCGGUGCGCACCCAAGCACCUGGCCACGAAAUUUUCGGUUGCAUGCCGCCAUGCAGGCUUACAUGCAUUUGAUGGUAGGAUGCUCUAAACAGAUCGGUGCAGACGACUUAUUUCAAAUUUUUGGUAUGUGUCAGUUACAUACUACUAUUUUUUGUACGUACGUACUAUUUUGAGAACAAAUUACCAAAGUAUGUGUACAUACACAGUAUAUGGGCUGCAUGAAAAUGCAAACAUGUUUGUUUUUUCGGGGCUAGACCCAUUAAAGAAUGACGUUAUUUA